GACGAACGCUGGCGGCGUGCUUAACACAUGCAAGUCGAACGCUGAAGCUUGGUGCUUGCACUGGGUGGAUGAGUGGCGAACGGGUGAGUAAUACAUGAGUAACCUGCCCUUGACUCUGGGAUAAGCCUGGGAAACUGGGUCUAAUACUGGAUACGACAUGCCACUGCAUGGUGGUGUGUGGAAAGGGUUUUACUGGUUUUGGAUGGGCUCACGGCCUAUCAGCUUGUUGGUGGGGUAAUGGCCUACCAAGGCGACGACGGGUAGCCGGCCUGAGAGGGUGACCGGCCACACUGGGACUGAGACACGGCCCAGACUCCUACGGGAGGCAGCAGUGGGGAAUAUUGCACAAUGGGCGGAAGCCUGAUGCAGCGACGCCGCGUGAGGGAUGACGGCCUUCGGGUUGUAAACCUCUUUCAGCACGGAAGAAGCGAGAGUGACGGUACGUGCAGAAGAAGCGCCGGCUAACUACGU
rnacentral:rRNA from 1 species